AGUGUGGAUGUCGUGUGAGUCUGACAAAUCCCACACUGAGAUAGAUAUUAUUGGAUAGAAUGGAGUACAUUAUGCCAAUGAAAAGAACACUGGAUUCGUUUCAAAAGUUUUGAACACUCCGGAAUGUCCUCCUUGAAUACCGUCGUGAAACUCAUGAAGGAUCAAGGGAAGAAAGUGUGAUGCUUGCGGAAUCAACAAGCAACAUUUGAACCAAACGCGUCCAUUAAUCAUAACAACAUGAACACUUAAGGACAUAUACACAAGCUGCUACCGAUCCACCGACUGCAUUUGACACAAAAAACCAUCGGCUGCCUUGUGUUUCUUCUUGGGCAAUUAAACCCCGUUGCAACAUAGCAUAAUGGCAUUGGCAGGAACGUGACCUCAUUGAACAUAACGUCGUCAUUGGCGAAUUCUCUGGUUAAUUAAAGGAGUUAGAAUUGGGCCAAAUUGUGUUGGAUUCUAUUUUGUACACAACGAAAAACAUUUAGUGUCCUUUUUUGAUCUGUCAUU